UACGGAGGGUGCAAGCGUUAUCCGGAUUCACUGGGUUUAAAGGGUGCGUAGGAGGGCAGGUAAGUCAGUGGUGAAAUCCCCGGGCUUAACUUGGGAACUGCCGUUGAUACUAUCUGUCUUGAAUACCGUGGAGGUGAGCGGAAUAUGUCAUGUAGCGGUGAAAUGCUUAGAUAUGACAUAGAACACCAAUUGCGAAGGCAGCUCGCUACACGAAUAUUGACUCUGAGGCACGAAAGCGUGGGGAUCAAACAGG
rnacentral:rRNA from 1 species